GAUGAACGCUAGCGACAGGCUUAACACAUGCAAGUCGAGGGGCAGCAUGAUUUGUAGCAAUACAGAUUGAUGGCGACCGGCGCACGGGUGAGUAACGCGUAUGCAACUUACCUAUCAGAGGGGGAUAGCCCGGCGAAAGUCGGAUUAAUACCCCAUAAAACAGGGGUCCCGCAUGGGAAUAUUUGUUAAAGAUUCAUCGCUGAUAGAUAGGCAUGCGUUCCAUUAGGCAGUUGGCGGGGUAACGGCCCACCAAACCGACGAUGGAUAGGGGUUCUGAGAGGAAGGUCCCCCCACAUUGGUACUGAGACACGGACCAAACUCCUACGGGAGGCAGCAGUGAGGAAUAUUGGUCAAUGGCCGAGAGGCUGAACCAGCCAAGUCGCGUGAAGGAAGAAGGAUCUAUGGUUUGUAAACUUCUUUUAUAGGGGAAUAAAGUGGAGGACGUGUCCUUUUUUGUAUGUACCCUAUGAAUAAGCAUCGGCUAACUCCGUG
rnacentral:rRNA from 1 species